UACGUAGGGCGCAAGCGUUAUCCGGAAUUAUUGGGCGUAAAGAGCUCGUAGGCGGUUUGUCGCGUCUGCCGUGAAAUUUCGAGGCUCAACCUCGAACUUGCGGUGGGUACGGGCAGACUAGAGUGUGGUAGGGGAGACUGGAAUUCCUGGUGUAGCGGUGAAAUGCGCAGAUAUCAGGAGGAACACCGAUGGCGAAGGCAGGUCUCUGGGCCACUACUGACGCUGAGAAGCGAAAGCAUGGGGGAGCGAACAGG
rnacentral:rRNA from 1 species